rnacentral:rRNA from 1 species
GACGAACGCUGGCGGCGUGCUUAACACAUGCAAGUCGAGCGGAAAGGCCACUUCGGUGGUACUCGAGCGGCGAACGGGUGAGUAACACGUGAGUAAUCUGCCCUUGGCUUUGGGAUAGCCACCGGAAACGGUGAUUAAUACCGGAUACGACCACUUCUCGCAUGGGAUGGUGGUGGAAAGUUUUUUCGGCCAGGGAUGUGCUCGCGGCCUAUCAGCUUGAUGGUGAGGUAAUGGCUCACCAUGGCUUCGACGGGUAGCCGGCCUGAGAGGGUGACCGGUCACCCUGGGACUGGGACACGGCCCAGACUCCUACGGGAGGCAGCAGUGGGGAAUAUUGGACAAUGGGCGGAAGCCUGAUCCAGCAACGCCGCGUGAGGGAUGACGGCCUUCGGGUUGUAAACCUCUUUCAGCAGGGACGAAGCGCAAGUGACGGUACCUGCAGAAGAAGCACCGGCCAACUACGUGCCAGCAGCCGCCGUAA